rnacentral:tRNA from 1 species
AGGGGUAUAGUUCAGGAAUAGAGCAUGUGCUUGGCUUGCACGAGGUCCUGGGUUCAAUCCCCAGUGCCCCUA